rnacentral:rRNA from 1 species
UGGUGACAAUGGCAAGGAGGUCACACCUGUUCCCAUGCCGAACACAGAAGUUAAGCUCCUUAGCGCCGAUGGUAGUCGGA